rnacentral:SRP_RNA from 1 species
GCCGGGCACAGUGGCAUGUGCCUGUCAUCCCAGCUACUCGGGAGGCUGAGGCUGGAGGAUCUCUUGAGUCCAGGAGUUCUGGGCUGUAGUGCGCUAUGCUGAUCAGGUGUCUACACUAAGUUCGGCAUCAAUAUGGUGACUUCCUGGGAGCUGGGGACCACCAGGUUACCUAAGGAGGAGUGAAUCGGCCCAGGUCGGAAACGGAGCAGGUCAAAACUCCUGUGUUGAUCAGUAGUGGGAUUGUGCCUGUGAAUGGCCACUGCACUCCAGCCUGGGCAACACAGUGAGACCCUGUCUCU